GACAGAGGUGCCAAGCGUUAGGCGGAAUCACUGGGCUUAAAGCGUGUGUAGGCGGAUUUGUAAGUACCUUGUGAAAUCCCACGGCCCAACCGUGGAACUGCUCGGUAUACUGCUUAUCUUGAGCCACUUAGGGGCUGUCGGAACAAACGGUGGAGCGGUGAAAUGCGUAGAUAUCGUAAGGAAGACCAGUGGCGAAGGCGGGUCUCUGGACAGUUCCUGACGCUGAGGCACGAAGGUCAGGGGAGCAAACGGG
rnacentral:rRNA from 1 species